GGAGAGAUGACUGAGCGGUUUAAAGUGAUAGAUUGUAAAUCUAUUAGGUCUAACCUAUCGUAGGUUCGAAUCCUACUCUCUUCA
rnacentral:tRNA from 1 species